UAUAAUUAUUAAAUGUAAUGUUGCAUUAUUGUAUUAUUAAUAAGAUUAAGAUAAUUUAAUUCUGGCUUAGUAUUAUAGGUGAGUUACGACUGGAAGUUAUAUUUCGCAAGAUAUGUAUUCUGAAAUCUCGAGGUCUCGAUUUGAAACAUGGUUCGAGAGUAGUCGGAUAUCGGAAUUCGAUGGAAUUUUGUUUCGCGAAACAGUCUUACAAUUAGCGUAAAGCAGCGAUAUACCAAAUGGCGCUCCGCGCUACAUUCUUGAUCACGUGAUUCAUAUAGAACCGAUGCCAUUACUUACUAGGGGAAAGAAUUGCUUGACGUCAGUUUCGGUAUAGUAUGCGAUUUGUUCAACUUUUACAAUUACUCUCCAUGAUUGUUCACGACUUAAAUCAAAAUAAAACGAAAACCUCGAAAUUCGUCCGCAUAGACUGGGAAUUCGUCGAGGCGUGAAAAACUUAAUUAAAAUUUACUACGGUCAAAAGUAGAAUUAAAUGAAUUAAUCGAAGCUCCGGCUUUCCUCUUUCCUUUAUUUGUAAACGAAAACGUAGGGGAAAACCAGUAAAACUUUCCCGUAGAAACUAAAAUCUACAUUUAUCCGUCUCUCUUGUUCAUACGUCAUUGUUACGUUAAUUCAUUUCGUCUUUUACAAAUUUCAUUCGUAAAUUAAAGUCGAAAGAUUCAUGUACAUGGAAAACAGCUUCAAAAAAAAAAAAAAUAUAUAUAUAUACGAUUUAAUGCUUUUUGACUACAAAAAAUCGUCCGAGAACGGUCGUUCAUAUUGAAAUGUCGAUUUAUUUUUUUGAAGUAUGAAAAAAAAAUACACGUCGCCCUUUGAAAAUCGGCGUUUCGCUUGGAACAGUAACACGACUUACCGGCUGUGAUUUAGCGGCUAGUUGGUUUCGUUUGGCAAGUACACGCGGCGUUCGUUAGUUUGCGCAUCUACGUUUCCCUCACCCUCUAUCAGUCUGUGUUUCUCAUUGCUCUGAACCUGUGUUGAUCAGUUCACAUAGCAUAACCGAGGCUUGUCGAUGCGAACAUAGAAUUUCAUAGAACGAAUGCUUUCGAGAGAUCGGGUCUUAUCCUCGAUCAAUAAAAAGUCGAUAUAUGUUAUGUAUGCCGCUGAAAUGUAUUCUUCACUGUAAGGAUCAACGAUUAUAUAUAUAUAUAUAUAUAUAUAUUUUAUUAUAUUAAUAACAGGAAAAUUGGAAAAGAGUAACAUUUUUUAAAGAUUAAUUAAUAGUGGAGAUUAAGUCUGUUCGAAUUUUAUAUAAUGAAUUGAAUACACUAAAUGUAGUUUGUCAUGGAAUACAUAUUCGUUCGAACAAAGAAAAACCACCCGGAGAUAUAACAAACCGUCUAAUUCGUGUAGCCAUAUAUGACAGCUUUUGCACCGAGCAAACCGGCUGUUUAGUGUGCCGCGCAUGUUUCUCGAAUAAAAACGGCGAUGAAAACCGCAUCCUGGAAGAACGUCCUUUGGAAUUGCUGUGGAACAAAAGCACGCUUUACACAUCCUCGUAAAAACGCAGACACGUAGAUCGUUUAAACCGUACGAACGCACAAUUGCUUAUCCACGAAGAUUCGCAAGAUACUCCUAGGUCGAUCGUCGAUAAAACCUCAAUUUCUCAUAGGAAGACUAAUUUCAGUUCGCAUGAAAAACUACCCCGACAGUCCGGUCCGACGAAAAUACAUGAGAAGUUCAAAUAAAAAAGAGAGCGAGCUAGCGAGCGAGCGAGCGCGAGAGAGAGAGAGAGAGAGAGAAACGACCACACGCGAACCGAUGGUGGUAGCAGAUGCACGAGAAGACGGAUUCCCGUUAAAAACGGCCGAUAUCGUCAAAAAUAAUGGCGUGGAAGGAACGCAUUUUGGCACGACGGACACACCAGAUACCCUGGAAUGGAUUCAAGCCAGAGAGAAUGAUAACACUUAAACAAAUUUUUCCUGCCUUAUCUCGUCGUAUAUUAUUCGAGGUCCAAAACAUGGGGGUUAUACUGGACUCUUUCUGUCUUAAGUAUGGUAGCACCAUAUUAACUGGUUUAUGACUAUUACUCUGUUAGUAAUUAAUUAUUGUAGCCAAAUGUAUAAAGUAAUUGUACGUCCAACCACCCAAUGGAGAAGAAGGAAGCUAUGAAUUUCUUAAAAAUAUACUUUUCUUAAUAACUGACCACAUAAAGGCUGGUCCCAUGACGAGUUAGGAAAUCAGUGUUGUAUGUUCUUUGUGACACCUAAGCAGAAACGAUCGUAGACAGUAACUAGCCGGUAAUGUCGUUACUCGCAAUUAUCGUGAUAACUGUGCUCUCUUCCAAUAGCCGGCGCUUUUUGCACAGUGAUUGCGAGACGUGCCAGACCCAAACGCACACGAUGACACUCGCCUUCUAUAUAUAUAAUGCACGUGCUACACGCUGGCACCGACCAGCUGGUCAGAAUCGGGACGAGCAGGCCAAGUAGUCGAGUCACGCGAGGAAUUCAGCUUUGCAACGCAACGAGCGCGCGCGGGGCGCACACAUACAUAUACACAGUCAAUGCACCGCGGGGAUUAGCAGCGUUCACUUUCACGUGCAAUUAUCUGCCUUUACGAGCUUGUCUCCCGGGAAGCAUUAUCGCACGAGGGAGCGAGAGUCCUCUUGUUCCUCGUCCGUAGGGCGGACAAAGACGAGCUGGCAGACGGUUCUCAGUCAGGAUCCGGCUGGUGGGCGAGAAAUUUUCCAAUUCUACUUUGUUAGUCGUAACAGGUUGUUCUCUCGUGAGAUCGAAGCGUUUACACGCGAUCGUUGCUUUAUACCCGUGCAACACGAGCGCCUUGGGAAUUUUUGUUUGAAAGAAUGCAAGCGCGAGAUAUAUGCCGAUAUAUACAUAUAUACUACAUACAUAAAGUAAGUGCUUUUCGAGAAUGCGCCAUUAAUGUUAAACCGAGUGUUUGUAAAGAAAUUUUUCAGGACUGUUCUUUCUAUACAUUAUUUCGUUUUGAUUUAUUCGUCCUCUUCUUUUAUCUCUCCUUUUCAACUAUAAAGUUAUGCUAGAGGUUGUUAGUUAUAAAAUCUUGGUGGCGCUCUUGGUUGAUAAAAAAGAGCUUACCAUUAAAAGUUGUGUAUAUAGAUUUCUAUUGUGGUAGAAAUUUCUUUCUGCUCCACGAUAACGCAGAACAACUUAGUAAUACAGUCUCCUAAAAACUUCCAAUUGGGCUACGAACUUCUUCCUUAUCCCUGUUCACUUCUCGACUUCCUCGCACAGAUUACCAUCUAUUUAGAAGUCUCGACCGGUU